AGAGAGCACAGUUCCUUAGGGGACAACAGCUCCUCAGUUCCUGGUGCCUCCACGAGGGUAAAGAAUCAUUUCAUCGCACUUCUCCUGGGAAGUGAUUAGUAACUCUUCUGGGACUUAACUGCCUCCUGUACACAGGUACAAAGGCAGGAAGCGCAAGGAAUUUUGAAAGGACAGCCAGGAGGAUCCCCCAUCUUCAGAUGUUUUGCAGAAUUUUUGGCGUCAGUGUGAAGCAUCGGAGAAGAGGGGACCUUCACUUCUUGCCAACAGUGGAUCCUCUGCACUGGGCUAUGCAUUAACCCAGAAUUAUCCAGAAACAUGGCUGUUUCUACACCCUGAACAUACCCCAUUCCACACUGCUGAAUCUUCAAAGAUCAGAGAAAUUAAAGGAUUCAUUUUGGCUCAGGCAAAACAGACAGG
rnacentral:lncRNA from 1 species